UACGGAGGUUGCAAGCGUUGUUCGGAAUUACUGGGCGUAAAGGGAGCGCAGGCGGUCGGGUCUGUCUGAAGUGAAAGCCCGUGGCUCAACCCCGGAACUGCCUCUGAUACUGCAAGACUAGAGACUAGGAGAGGGUGGUGGAAUUCCCAGUGUAGAGGUGAAAUUCGUAGAUAUUGGGAGGAACACCAGAGGCGAAGGCGGCCACCUGGACUAGAUCUGACGCUCAGGUGCGAAAGCGUGGGGAGCAAACCGG
rnacentral:rRNA from 1 species